AUCUAAGUACCCCGAGGAAAAGAAAUCAACCGAGAUUCCCCCAGUAGCGGCGAGCGAACGGGGAGGAGCCCAGAGCCUGAAUCAGCAUGUGUGUUAGUGGAAGCGUCUGGAAAGGCGCGCGAUACAGGGUGACAGCCCCGUACACAAAAGCGCAUGUGCUGUGAGCUCGAUGAGUAGGGCGGGACACGUGGUAUCCUGUCUGAAUAUGGGGGGACCAUCCUCCAAGGCUAAAUACUCCUGACUGACCGAUAGUGAACCAGUACCGUGAGGGAAAGGCGAAAAGAACCCCGGCGAGGGGAGUGAAAAAGAACCUGAAACCGUGUACGUACAAGCAGUGGGAGCCCCACCACCAAAGCAUUCUCUGGUGUUGAAGGCCCUGCAAAGCAGCAUCG
rnacentral:rRNA from 1 species